GACGGACGCUGGCGGCGUGCUUAACACAUGCAAGUCGAACGGAAAGGCCCCAGCUUGCUGGGGUACUCGAGUGGCGAACGGGUGAGUAACACGUGGGUGAUCUGCCCUGCACUCUGGGAUAAGCCUGGGAAACUGGGUCUAGUACCGGAUAGGACCGUGCUUUAGUGUGUGCGGUGGAAAGUUUUUCGGUGCAGGAUGAGCCCGCGGCCUAUCAGCUUGUUGGUGGGGUAAUGGCCUACCAAGGCGGCGACGGGUAGCCGGCCUGAGAGGGUGUACGGCCACAUUGGGACUGAGACACGGCCCAGACUCCUACGGGAGGCAGCAGUGGGGAAUAUUGCACAAUGGGCGCAAGCCUGAUGCAGCGACGCCGCGUGGGGGAUGACGGCCUUCGGGUUGUAAACCCCUUUCGGCAGGGACGAAGCUUUUGUGACGGUACCUGCAUAAGAAGCACCGGCUAACUACGUG
rnacentral:rRNA from 1 species